UACGUAGGGUGCGAGCGUUGUCCGGAAUUAUUGGGCGUAAAGGGCUCGUAGGCGGUCUGUUGCGUCGGGAGUGAAAACUCAGGGCUUAACCCUGAGCCUGCUUCCGACACGGGCAGACUAGAGGUAUGCAGGGGAGAACGGAAUUCCUGGUGUAGCGGUGAAAUGCGCAGAUAUCAGGAGGAACACCGGUGGCGAAGGCGGUUCUCUGGGCAUUACCUGACGCUGAGGAGCGAAAGUGUGGGGAGCGAACAGG
rnacentral:rRNA from 1 species